GACGAACGCUGGCGGCGCGCCUAAUACAUGCAAGUAGAACGCUGAAGAGAGGAGCUUGCUCUUCUUGGAUGAGUUGCGAACGGGUGAGUAACGCGUAGGUAACCUGCCUUGUAGCGGGGGAUAACUAUUGGAAACGAUAGCUAAUACCGCAUAACAAUGGAUGACACAUGUCACUUAUUUGAAAGGGGCAAUUGCUCCACUACAAGAUGGACCUGCGUUGUAUUAGCUAGUAGGUGAGGUAACGGCUCACCUAGGCGACGAUACAUAGCCGACCUGAGAGGGUGAUCGGCCACACUGGGACUGAGACACGGCCCAGACUCCUACGGGAGGCAGCAGUAGGGAAUCUUCGGCAAUGGGGGCAACCCUGACCGAGCAACGCCGCGUGGGUGAAGAAGGUUUUCGGAUCGUAAAGCUCUGUUGCAAGUCAAGAACGAGUGUGAGAGUGGAAAGUUCACACUGUGACGGUAGCUUACCAGAAAGGGACGGCUAACUACGUGCCAGCAGCCGCGGUAAUACGUAGGUCCCGAGCGUUGUCCGGAUUUAUUGGGCGUAAAGCGAGCGCAGGCGGUUUGAUAAGUCUGAAGUUAAAGGCUGUGGCUCAACCAUAGUUCGCUUUGGAAACUGUCAAACUUGAGUGCAGAAGGGGAGAGUGGAAUUCCAUGUGUAGCGGUGAAAUGCGUAGAUAUAUGGAGGAACACCGGUGGCGAAAGCGGCUCUCUGGUCUGUAACUGACGCUGAGGCUCGAAAGCGUGGGGAGCGAACAGG
rnacentral:rRNA from 1 species